ACCCCAGUAUACUUUUUCUUAAAAUUUAAAGCUAGAUUAUUAGUAGAUAGAUUCUUGAAAAUCAGAGAAUUUGGCGGUAUCUUAAUCUUAUUAGAGGAACCUGUUUCAUAAACGAUACACCACGAAGAAUCUUAUUUACCUUAAAUAGUUUGUAUACCGUCAUUGUUAGAUAAUUUUGGGAAAAUUAAUUAUUGUAAUUAGUGCAUUUUAAGUAUAUUAGAUCAAGGUGCAGCUUAUAGGUAAGGAGAGAAUGGGUUACAUUAAAUUAAUUUAAACGAAGGUAAAACUUUUAACAAGUUACUAAAGGCGGAUUUAAUUGUAUGCUUAAUUUAAUAUGUUAGGUAGAAAUUGGCGCUAAGAU
rnacentral:rRNA from 1 species